rnacentral:rRNA from 1 species
CCUACGGGAGGCAGCAGUGGGGAAUAUUGGGCAAUGGGCGAAAGCCUGACCCAGCAACGCCGCGUGAAGGAAGAAGGCUUUCGGGUUGUAAACUUCUUUUGACAGGGAAGAGCAGAAGACGGUACCCGACCAAGAAGCCCCGGCUAACUACGUGCCAGCAGCCGCGGUAAUACGUAGGGGGCGAGCGUUAUCCGGAAUUACUGGGUGUAAAGGGAGCGUAGACGGCGAGGUAAGCCUGAAGUGGAAGCCCGCGGCCCAACCGCGGAACUGCUUUGGGAACUGUGUUGCUGGAGUAUGGGAGGGGUAAGCGGAAUUCCUGGUGUAGCGGUGAAAUGCGUAGAUAUCAGGAGGAACACCGGUGGCGAAGGCGGCUUACUGGACCAUAACUGACGUUGAGGCUCGAAAGCGUGGGGAGCGAACAGGAUUAGAUACCCCAGUAGUC